CGCACUGUCAUCACUCAUUGUUGAUUACAGAGCGGCGCCUAGGCAGAGACAAUUGCAGCGGUGGAAAAAGAUGGCAUGGACAGCCAAAUUUCUGCUUCCGAUUAGACAAUCAAUUUCUCAAUCCCGGAAACUAUUUCAUGGAAAAUUUGGACCUUUGAGAACAUGGGCAGAGAGUAUGGAACCUACACUACAAAACAGGGCCUCAAAGUUUGAGCAUAAACUAAAUAUAUACAGAAAAUAUGUUCAAGAUUUUUGCUUAUCAGGAAAGUUUUGUUUUGUUUUGUUUUUAUAUGAUUUUUCUUUGCUGUUGUAGUUGCCUGUUCAUGUAAAUUUUGCAGUUUUGAUUGAAUUUUAGCGAAAUUUGACUGUUACCCAUUUUAUUAAACUUGCAGCUUUUAUUGAUUAUUGGUUUUACGAAUACCCUUCUUUUUUGGUUAAUAUGAAUUUCAUUGUUUCUGGAUUAUUUUCUCUCUGAUGUUAUGUUAUUUGUAAUUGUUGAACUGGUUUGUAGAUUAAAAAUUGUUCCAUGCCAAUGUUUAUGACUUGAAGGAACUGUUUUCUGAGUUUUGGCUCUGAAUUUUCGCCUACAAUGAACCAGGAAGUAGAAAUGCCAGAAGCAUUUUUGGUGUAUCAGUUGUAUUUGGAGUUGUCUACUGUUGGUCACGUUUUACAUAUGCAAUGGAUGGUCUCGACAUUUUGGUAGAUGAUUAUCAUAUAGAGUCAUUUGAUGCUUCAGAAGGAGAAGAUGAUCGCCACAAACUCUGGAUGUUAAUGAAAAAAUUAUGGCUGCCUGUUUUUUUCAUAUUUACUAUCUUGGUGAACUGGGAUAAUCCCUUCGCUGUUGCAAUUAGAGUCCUUCUUUUUCUCCUCAGCACCAAACCAAGCCCUUCAUCAAUUUAUCUUUUUGUUGAAAGGUUAUGUCACGGAUAUAUGCACCACAAACCUCAUUUUUACAUAUGUAAGUCACUGCAUGCCAACAAAGUUGAAGUCCAAGAUUAUAAGCUUCUCUGCAUUGCUAAAGUAGAAAUUGGCGACCAGAAGUUACAUUUAAUUGGGAUUCUUGGUGGUUGGUGGACAUUGCCAUCGUCACUGGGUAUAUAUUUCCUUGAUCAGGAGCAGUGCUCUGGUCCACCACAGAGAUAACGAGGUGAUAAUCUUCAUCAGCUGAAUUUUCAUUAAAGGAAUAAGUACCACAAAAUAUUCCUCCCCCUCGACGAAAGUAGAUUAAGGUGACUGGAAGGGUGCAUGCUAUCAUCAUAAGUCCCAUGAGAGAAAUGCUUGUUU